ACCCCUACGGGACGCAGCAGUGGGGAAUAUUGCACAAUGGGGGAAACCCUGAUGCAGCGACGCCGCGUGAAGGAAGAAGUAUUUCGGUAUGUAAACUUCUAUCAGCAGGGAAGAAAAUGACGGUACCUGACUAAGAAGCCCCGGCUAACUACGUGCCAGCAGCCGCGGCAAUACGUAGGGGGCCAGCGUUAUCCGGAUUUACUGGGUGAAAAGGGAGCGUAGGCGGUAAUGCAAGUCAGAAGUGAAA
rnacentral:rRNA from 1 species